AAUGUAUGAGAACAUAGUUUUGGUCCCAAAUGACAUCUGUGAUUACUGACUUUGAGAUCGUUCUGACAUU